CCUUGGAGUGAGCUCUCAGUGCCUGGGUGGCCUCUAGUUUACUGCUGGUUCACUGGGCUCCUUCUGCCUCAAUGGGCCAGCUCCCAGGACUAUAAAUCAUAUAGAUGUGAACUCCAUCCUGAACAGCUCCUGAACUACAUUUGGAAGAGAGGCAUGCUGGUACCCAAGUGUGUGGAUCCACUUCCAGAGCGAGUCUUGAUGUGCAGUCCAGGCUGAUGUAUAACUUGGUAUAUAGAACAGACCGGCCUCAAUGUGGUGGCAAUCUUUCUACCUUACCUCCUGAAUGCUGGGGACAGUGUGAGCUCCACACCAGCCUGCUUCCCUCUGUUGUUUGCCUCUGGUGUGCGUCAUCUUGACGAAGUCUGACUAUCAGUGUAUCUCCUUUAUCAGUUUCCAAGGAUCUUGUCAUCAAGAAUGGGGUGUUUUUCUGCUUAUUCACAUCCUCAGUCCAGGCCUUGACCUGAGCUUGGUAUCUGUUUGAAACAUGGCAAACUCUGGCAAAUUAAAACUUUGGUACCCUGUAAGCAAACACAGAGAGGGCAUGUUCUCUUCCCCCCUUUGGAUUUU
ensembl:lincRNA 1700049E15Rik RIKEN cDNA 1700049E15 gene